rnacentral:rRNA from 1 species
GAUGAACGCUGGCGGCGUGCCUAAUACAUGCAAGUCGAGCGAACGGGCGAGAAGCUUGCUUCUCUGAUGUUAGCGGCGGACGGGUGAGUAACACGUGGAUAACCUACUUAUAAGACUGGGAUAACUUCGGGAAACCGUAGCUAAUACCGGAUAAUAUUUUGAACCGCAUGGUUCAUAAGUGAAAGACGGUCUUGCUGUCACUUAUAGAUGGAUCCGCGCUGCAUUAGCUAGUUGGUAAGGUAACGGCUUACCAAGGCAACGAUGCAUAGCCGACCUGAGAGGGUGAUCGGCCACACUGGAACUGAGACACGGUCCAGACUCCUACGGGAGGCAGCAGUAGGGAAUCUUCCGCAAUGGGCGAAAGCCUGACGGAGCAACGCCGCGUGAGUGAUGAAGGUCUUCGGAUCGUAAAACUCUGUUAUUAGGGAAGAACAUAUGUGUAAGUAACUGUGCACAUCUUGACGGUACCUAAUCAGAAAGCCACGGCUAACUACGUG